CCUACGGGAGGCAGCAGUGAGGAAUAUUGGUCAAUGGGCUUACGCCUGAACCAGCCAAGUCGCGUGCGGGAAGACUGCCCUAUGGGUUGUAAACCUCUUUUGUCAGGGAGUAACGCCGGCUACGUGUAGCCGGACUGAGAGUACCUGAAGAAAAAGCAUCGGCUAACCCCGUGCCAGCAGCAGCGGUAAUACGGAGGAUGCGAGCGUUAUCCGGUUUUAUUGGGUUUAAAGGGUGCGUAGGCGGAAUGCCAAGUCAGCGGUAAAAUCGGGGGGCUCAACCUCGCUCCGCCGUUGAAACUGGCGUUCUUGAGUGGGCGUGAAGUAUGCGGAAUGCGUGGUGUAGCGGUGAAAUGCAUAGAGAUCACGCAGAACACCGAUUGCGAAGGCAGCAUACCGGCGCCCAACUGACGCUGAGGCACGAAAGCGUGGGGAUCGAACAGGAUUAGAUACCCCUGUAGUC
rnacentral:rRNA from 1 species